CCAUUGCCUGGCGCAGCCAACCUCGACUUGACGGGGUGGUUCGUGGCUGGCUUCAGCGGGGGGGACAUUUAUCACAGCGUGUCCCGGGCUCGACCCCGCAUGUUCCUCUGGUGCCUACUCCUACUUUCCGUGGGAGUAGGCAUCUUCCUGCUGCCUGCUCGGUAGACGGGUAGCUUA
rfam:Hepatitis C virus subtype 6k isolate KM45, complete genome